UGAUCAUUUUUCUUCCAGGAGCGAGAACGGCAGAAGUGGGACGCAUUGAACAAGAAAAUAGAACAAGAGAAUGAACGAAAGAAAAAGAUUGAGGAGGAGAGACGAAAGAAACAGGAAGAAAUGAAAAGGAAGCGGGACGAGCGUUUGAAACGGGUUGUUGAGGCUCGAGUGAAAGGUGAAAAGGAGAAGGAGCAGGAAAAGAAA